UACGUAGGGGGCGAGCGUUGUCCGGAUUUAUUGGGCGUAAAGAGCUCGUAGGCGGUUUGGUAAGUCAGGUGUGAAAUCUCCACGCUCAACGUGGAGGGGCCACCUGAUACUGCCAUGACUGGAGUCCGGUAGAGGAGUGUGGAAUUCCCGGUGUAGCGGUGAAAUGCGCAGAUAUCGGGAGGAACACCCGUAGCGAAGGCGGCACUCUGGGCCUGUACUGACGCUGAGGAGCGAAAGCGUGGGGAGCGAACAGG
rnacentral:rRNA from 1 species